rnacentral:misc_RNA from 1 species
UCGCACCAAGAUCCCCCGUUGCCUUCCCUCCGUCUCUGCUCGCAUUUAUCUUGAUGGGUGCUUUCUUCGUUAUGAUAAAUAUGAUUUCUUUCAGGAGGCUGUGUCCCUUUCUCUUGAUACUUUCAAAUGUAGCCAGGAAAAUUUUUCUGGUUCUGGUGAUGAGAAUGGGAAGUUGAAGUUUGAUUCGAGUGUUGGGUAUGCGGUUGCUAAUGUGACUAGUAAAGCUGUGGAGAAUGGUGG